CACGAAGGGGGCUAGCGUUGUUCGGAAUUACUGGGCGUAAAGCGCACGUAGGCGGCUUUGUAAGUUAGAGGUGAAAGCCCAGGGCUUAACCCUGGAAUUGCCUUUAAGACUGCAUCGCUAGAAUUGUGGAGAGGUAAGUGGAAUUCCGAGUGUAGAGGUGAAAUUCGUAGAUAUUCGGAAGAACACCAGUGGCGAAGGCGACUUACUGGACACAUAUUGACGCUGAGGUGCGAAAGCGUGGGGAGCAAACAGG
rnacentral:rRNA from 1 species